rnacentral:rRNA from 1 species
UACGUAGGUGCAGCGUAAGUCGAAUACACGUGGGCGGUAAAGCGCUCGUAGGUGGCUUUGUAAGUCAGGUGUGAAAGCCCACGGCUCAACCGUGGAAUUGCACUUGAUACUGCAUUGCUUGAGUUCGGGAGAGGGUAGUGGAAUUCCAGGUGUAGGAGUGAAAUCCGUAGAGAUCUGGAGGAACACCAGUGGCGAAGGCGACUACCUGGACCGAUACUGACACUGAGGAGCGAAAGCGUGGGGAGCAAAACAGGAUUAGAUACCCCGGUAGU